rnacentral:tRNA from 1 species
CCGGUGGUGGUUCAGAGGCAGAACGCUCACCUUCCACGCAGGUGACCCAGGUUCCAUUCCUGGCCGAUGUA